GAUGAAGAACGUAGCGAAAUGCGAUACUUGGUGUGAAUUGCAGAAUCCCGUGAACCAUCGAGUCUUUGAACGCAAGUUGCGCCCGAAGCCAUUAGGCCGAGGGCACGCCUGCCUGGGCGUCACACGUCGUUGCCCCCCCAUCUACUCCUUCGGGAUUGCGGGGGGCGGAUGAUGGCCUCCCGUGCGCCUCGUCGCGCGGUUGGCAUAAAUGCCAAGUCCUCGGCGACACACGCCACGACAAUCGGUGGUUGCGAAACCUCGGUUGCCCGUCGUGUGCGGUCGUCGCGCAUCGAGGGCUCGAAAAAAUUGCCGGGCUCCGGCUCGGCUUUCAACGCGACCCCAGGUCAGGCGGGGUUACCCGCUGAAUUUAAGCAUAUCAAUAGCGGAGGA
rnacentral:misc_RNA from 1 species